CAACUGACAGUUAUUUGCUGUCGUUCUGUGGUCGUUGUCCCCAUUUUUUAAAGAAAUAUUUUGAUUUUGCCUGAAAAUGUUAAAUAACUUGAAAAUUAUCAGAUGGUAGCCCUGUCAAAUUAAAUUCCUGUGAAAAACCUGCCUCGAAAUCUCUGUCUGCUUGGUCAAAAAAUAUAGAAUAUAGCAAAUACAGUCCAUAUUGACGUAGAAACUCGACUAAAUUUAGUUAUAAAAUCUAAUCAUGAUUCAAGUAAAACUGAUGCUGUUGGGACUGUCUGUACUGGUAGGUGCUGGUAUAGCUAUCUAUACUUAUUAUCAAAGCAAAGAAGAACCACAGCAACACCGGAGAUCGGACCAAAGAUCGGACAGAUCAUGUCAUGAACCUUAUAAUAAUAAUUCCAUUGCCAGACUACGUAUAAAACAAAGCAGAGAUGAAAAAAAUGUUUGUUCAAUCUGCCUGGACGACAUGACGAACUUAUUUACUACAUUAAAAUGUGGCCAUAAGUUUCAUGGGAUAUGUAUAAAGGACUGGUUUAGUGCCUCGACUAGUUGCCCACUUUGUAGAGAUGUGAAUAAGUGAACUUAGCAAUAACAAUUCUUUGACUCAUUUGAUUUCUCGUAUUAAGACAUUCUUAAUAAGGGAUUUCAUCUUUUAUGUGUUUAUGUAGGUUGAUCUUUUUAUAUUUUAUUCCUAUUAAAUGAGUUUGCAAAUAAAAUUAUUAAAUACAUUUUAUUUUGGUACUCAGUUUAUGCUUUAAAUUUGAAUUAAUAUGAAUUCUUAUUCGUAUUUAAGUUACAUUAAACAUGUAAAAUGUAACAGUCAUGUAAUUUAAACAAUAUUGUAAGUUUAACUCAAAAAAAUGUGCUUUUAUGGGAUUUUAUAUACUUUUUCAGUUUAUAUACUGGCAUAUUAAAAUAGUUCAAUU